AUUGAACGCUGGCGGAAUGCUUUACACAUGCAAGUCGAACGGCAGCACGGGGGCAACCCUGGUGGCGAGUGGCGAACGGGUGAGUAAUACAUCGGAACGUGCCCAGUCGUGGGGGAUAACGUAGCGAAAGUUACGCUAAUACCGCAUACGAUCUACGGAUGAAAGCGGGGGACCGUAAGGCCUCGCGCGAUUGGAGCGGCCGAUGUCAGAUUAGGUAGUUGGUGAGGUAAAGGCUCACCAAGCCGACGAUCUGUAGCUGGUCUGAAAGGACGACCACGCACAGUGGGGCGUAGUAACGGCCCAGACUCCAACGGGAGGCAGCAGUGGGGAAUUUUGGACAAUGGGCGCAAGCCUGAUCCAGCCAUUCCGCGGGCAGGACGAAGGCCUUCGGGUUGUAAACUGCUUUUGUACGGAACGAAAAGGCUCUGGUUAAUACCUGGGGCUCAUGACGGUACCGUAAGAAUAAGCACCGGCUAACUACGUGCCAGCCGCCGCCGUAA
rnacentral:rRNA from 1 species